AAAAAUAUACAAAGAAAAAACGGUCGCCUUCAAGACAACGUUAUUUAACGUUUAUCGCCAACGGUUUAUUCGGUUCGGUCGCAGACGUUAAGACGCUGUCUCGGGAACAAUACGCCCGUGUUCCUGACUUCCGACAAAAUUACAACUUAAAAGUUUUCCAUUGUUUCUUCUCCGUUUUGUAUAGCACUUCAUUUUAAAUGAAUGGAAAUCCAACUCGAUGUUAAAGUUCGACUGGGAAAAGGCGCAUUUGGCGCAGUGUUUCCAGGAACGUUUCGAGGUCGUCAAGUGGUAGUCAAAAGAGUUGACCUUUUCGACGCCAACGGCAACGAGGAAGAAACUCUAAAACAGUUGGAUCAUCCUCACAUCGCCAAAACUCUUUCACGUCGAGUCCAACGACGAAUUCAAGUACUUUGCUCUGGAACUCUGCGCCGCAUCGUUGGAUCAGAUAUUUCUGGAUCCUGAAAAUCCUCGAAAAUACAAAGGGCCUAACCUGCCACCCCAUUUGAUGGUUUUCUCUCAGUUGGCUUCGGGACUAGAGCACAUCCAUUGAAAGAAAUUAAUUCAUCGAGACAUCAAGCCAGAAAAUGUACUCAUUCACGUCGAUCCUACUACUGGCCAGGUGAAAAUGAAAUGGGCUGAUUUCGGUCUGUCCAGAUCCGUCAAUGAGCGAGGGACAUUCACGAUCAAUAGCGGAAUCAAAGGAACCAAAAACUGGUAUGCCCCAGAAUUGCUGAAACUAAGCAGCGAAUUCAAAAAGAAAAAACUGCCAAGAGGUACCGUCAAGAGCGACGUCUUUGCACAAGGUCUCGUCUUUGCAUAUCUUCUUUUGGAUGGGCAGCAUCUUUACGGUCGAAACGACUACGACAUUUUCAAGAACAUUAUGGUUGACAACCCAGUCAAUACCAGCAAAAUUGACCAACCUCAUUACGCAUUGGAAUUAUUCACAAAAAUGUUGGUGCAUGAUCACGAAGAUAGAAUUUCAUCAGGCGAUGUCGCUACUCAAUUAAAUACCAUCAAGCAAAAACUUGCCGAAAAAGAAGAAGAGGUGCGUCUACUUUGUAAAAGUAUAGUUGUAAAGUAGUCUAGUUGUAAAAGUCCCAAUUCGGGAUCGACGUCAAUGGCAAAGACGAAGACGGCAACAACGCACUCCAUUUACUGUGCACUAAUCAUUCGAGCGAAAGAUUAAUCGAGGCAAUCGCACCACUGAUCGAAUCCAAGAUUGAUGUCAAUGGGGAAAACAACUACGGAAGCAACGCACUGCAUUUAUUGUGUCUUAAUAAUUCAAGCAAAGGAUUAAUCGAGGCAAUGAAUUUACUCAUCCAACAGGGAAUCGAUGUCAACAGGAAAGACAACUACGGGAGAAACGCACUGCAUUACUUGUGUUAUUCCAAUUCAAGCGACAAAUUAGUUGACGCAAUCGAAUUUUUAGUUCAACGCGGGAUCGACGUGCAUGGGAUCGAUAAAGACGGAUGGAACGCACUCCAUUUAUUGUGUCGAUUUAAUUCAAGCAAAAGAUUUAUCGAAGCAAUCAAGCUAUUCAUCCAACUCGGAAUUGACGUCAAAUCCAACGGCAACAUCGAUGCCCGAAUUCUGUUACGAAUCAACUCCACUUUUCAUCAAAGAGAAAUAACCGAUGAUAUCUUACAACUCCUCGACAGAGCUGCUCUUGCCAAAUAAUAAGAUUCAUUUUGAAGAUUUUCAAUGCGAGAAAAAAAUAACAAAAUUGCUUGUACACAUUUUAUGUGCAUAAUUUACCAUACUCGGAAACAAUGUAGGUAAGACAAAUACGCAAAAAAUGCUUAAAUUUAAACGGACUUGCAUGGAAGGAAACUCACUUCCUUUCAUGUGUCAAUUAAAUUAUACUCCGAAAAAGUGAAAAAGGUAAAAAGAAGGAAUCCAUAAUUUUUUUUUUGUUCCAGUUCGGAAUUGAUGUGCUAAACAAAACAAAAAACCGGAAGCGAUUCCAAAAAUUAUUUCCGUAAAAUGCCAUUUUUAAAUAGUCGAGGUGUGACCAAUUUAAACGUGGCGUCCAAAUCAAGUUAAUCAUCGCAGAUGGACGAGCGUGUAACUACAGACCCGAUUUUCCAUGCAAGAUUCCUUAUAUAAAAGUGGUUUAAAA